GACGAACGCUGGCGGCGUGCUUAACACAUGCAAGUCGAACGGUAAGGCCCUUCGGGGUACACGAGUGGCGAACGGGUGAGUAACACGUGGGUGAUCUGCCCUGCACUUCGGGAUAAACCUGGGAAACUGGGUCUAAUACCGGAUAGGACUCCGGACUGCAUGGUCUGGGGUGGAAAGCUUUUGCGGUGUGGGAUGGGCCCGCGGCCUAUCAGCUUGUUGGGGGGGUGAUGGCCUACCAAGGCGACGACGGGUAGCCGGCCUGAGGGGGUGACCGGCCACACUGGGACUGAGAUACGGCCCAGACUCCUACGGGAGGCAGCAGUGGGGAAUAUUGCACAAUGGGCGCAAGCCUGAUGCAGCGACGCCGCGUGAGGGAUGACGGCCUUCGGGUUGUAAACCUCUUUCAGCAUCGACGAAGCGAAAGUGACGGUAGGUGCAGAAGAAGGACCGGCCAACUACGUGCCAGCAGCCGCAGUAA
rnacentral:rRNA from 1 species